UUGCAAUGAUGACCAUUUGGGACACCUUUGUAUUAACCAUAAAAAAAUGACAUCUGAGCCAC
rnacentral:snoRNA from 1 species